rnacentral:lncRNA from 1 species
AUGGAUUUGGGAGACCUCAAUAUGAAUGUAAUUGAAGCCAAGAAGUGGAUGAAAUUGCCUAGGGACAGUGACCAAGCUGGUCUCGAACUCCUGACCUCAGGUGAUCUGCCCACCUUGGUUUCCCAAAAUGCUGGGAUUACAGGCAUGAGCCACUGCGCCCAGCCUGUAUUUACUUAUUUCUUUUUAAACUUAGGCAUGCUUAUUAACUUUUUCUUCUUCAUUUUCUUUUGUGUUUGUCUUUUCCACUUUUAGUGAGGUAUAAUUGCCCAAAAAAAUUAUAUAUGGUGUCCAGUGAGAUGUUUUGAUCUAUGUGUACACUGUGAAAUAAUUAUCAUAAUCAAGCUAAUUAGAAAUCCGUCUCCCUUUGGAAUUCACUUGCACUGAAGAAGUAAUACACACUGGUGUGAAUAAUUCGAAUAGAACAAAAUGUAAUGUGGGAAAAGGAAAUCUGUCUCCCACUUUGAUCUCCACCUUCUUGAGAAGUAACCACUGGUUCCAGGGUUAACAGUUUCCUUCCAUACAUUCUUUCUUUCUUUCUUUCUUUCUCUUUCUUUCUUUCUUUCUUUCUUUCUUUCUUUCUUUCUUUCUUUCUUUCUUUCUUUCUUUCUUUCUUUCUUUCUUUCUUUCUCUCUCUCUCUUUCCUUCCUUCCUUCCUUCCUUCCUUCCUUCCUUCCUUCCUUCCUUCCUUCCUUCUUUCUUUCUUUCUUCUUUCUUUCCCUCUCUCUCUCUUUCUUUUUCUUUCUUUCUUUCUUUUUUUUUUUGAGAUGGAGAUUUGCUUUUGUCAUCCAGGCUGGAGUGCAAUAGCACGAUCUUGGCUCACUGCAACUUCUGCCUCCCAGGUUCAAGCGAUUCUCUUGCCUCAGCCUCCCAAGUGCCUGGGAUUACAGGCAUGUGCCACCACGCCCGGCUAAUUUUUGUAUUUUUAGUAGAGAUGGGGUUUCACCAUGUUGGUCAGGCCGGUGUCGAACUCCUGACCUCCAGUAUCUGCCUGCCUCGGCCUCCCAAAGUGCUGGGAUUACAGGCGUGACCCCCUGGGCCUGGCCCUUCCAUACAUUUUCUAUGUGCAUAAAAUCUCUAUCACCCUUCCCUGUUGUACAUAACUUGGAGCAGUGGUGUUCACUGAUGUGCAAUCUACUUCUUUUGAGUGCAGUUUAAUCUGUGGGUGGUCUGCAGCUAGAAGGAGCAGGCCCCAAGCAGCAGGCGUGGUGUAUCGCUGGUGCUGUGUCAGUUUCUUCUCCCUUCUCUCCCUCACCUGUGUGUUGGUCUGGGCCUGAUGGCAGCUUGCCCUGCUGUCUGCACAGCCCUGCCCUGAACACCAGCUCAGGUGCCUCUCCAUCUUGCCCUCUGGCUCUAAGGCAGCUGGUCCAGGAAUAUGUCUUUAUGCUGUGGAAUGCCAGGACCCCAACAGCACUCUGUUCAUCUGUAAGUCCCCAAACACAGUGUUCUUUUGGACAUACUUUGAAGUUGAAGAGCUAACGAGUAAGUUAGAGCGGUCAUUUAUGGUUAGAAAAGCUAUCUUUCCCCAAGAAUUUCAAGGAUUUUACCAACAUAUCUAGUGACUUGUUCACUCUUUGAGGACAGGUCUGUGUUUUAUGCGUAUCUCCUGGACGGUACUUUGAACCAUAAUGGAUGAUCAGCCCAUGUCUGUUGCAUGACUACAGUGAUUUUUUUUUUUUUUUGAGAUGGAGUCUCACUCUGUUGUCCAGGCUGGAGUGUAGUGGCGCGAUCUCUGCUGACAGCAACCUCUGCCUCCCAGGUUCAAGCGAUUCUCCAGCCUCAGCCUCCCGAGUAGCUGAGGGAGAAAUCCCGAGUAAUCCCACCCACAGAUUAAACUGUGCUCAAAAGAAGUAGAUUGCACAUCAGCGAACACCACUGCUCCAAGUUAUGUACAACAG